rnacentral:lncRNA from 1 species
CACAACAGUCCUGUCACCGUCACUGCUAGGGCGUCCACCCAACCACAACAGUCCUGUCACCGUCACUGCUAGGGCGUCCACCCAACCACAACAGUCCUGUCACCGUCACUGCUAGGGCGUCCACCAACCACAAACAGUCCUGUCACCGUCAACUGCUAGGGGCGUCCACCCACCACAACAGUCCUGUCACCGUCAGCAGG